rnacentral:ncRNA from 1 species
UCCACUGUGAGGUGGAAUCUGGAGGAAGCCGGAGGCAAACUCCUGAGGUGACGAACAGAAACUGGAUACAAAGGCUGAAUGGGGAUGGAUAAGCCUGCCAAACAAGGUGAAGUCCGAUACUGUCCGAAUCUCUUACAGUAAAUCCAGCAUCUACAUGGGAGGAAAGUUGUCAUU